UACGAAGGGGGCUAGCGUUGCUCGGAAUCACUGGGCGUAAAGGGUGCGUAGGCGGGUUUUUAAGUCAGGGGUGAAAUCCUGGAGCUCAACUCCAGAACUGCCUUUGGUACUGAGGAUCUUGAGUUCGGGAGAGGUGAGUGGAACUGCGAGUGUAGAGGUGAAAUUCGUAGAUAUUCGCAAGAACACCAGUGGCGAAGGCGGCUCACUGGCCCGAUACUGACGCUGAGGCACGAAAGCGUGGGGAGCAAACAGG
rnacentral:rRNA from 1 species